rnacentral:rRNA from 1 species
CAGUCGCCACGGGAAUACGGAGGGUGCAAGCGUUAAUCGGAAUUACUGGGCGUAAAGCGCACGCAGGCGGUCUGACAAGUCAGAUGUGAAAUCCCCGGGCUUAACCUGGGAACUGCAUUUGUGACUGUAUAGCUAGAGUACGGCAGAGGGGGAUGGAAUUCCGCGUGUAGCAGUGAAAUGCGUAGAUAUGCGGAGGAACACCGAUGGCGAAGGCAAUCCCCUGGGCCUGUACUGACGCUCAUGCACGAAAGCGUGGGGAGCAAACAGGAUUAGAUACCCCUGUAGUCCCUGUCUCUUAUAU